CAUUUUGAAGAGGCUCCUCUCCGGAGUGUUUGAACAGGAAGGCGGACAUGUUGACUAGCCUGUGGGACAAAAUCGGGGCAUCGUCUGCAGCUUUCCCCACAUCGGUGACUAAAAACACAUCGGAAUUCAGCUCGUGCCCGAGCCGGAUCGGAGGGAUCACGUCGCUGGGGCCAGGAUACGGUUGACAUUCGGUGACAGCGGCGGCGGGCGGUUUAUUUAUUUAUUUUCUAACCGUUAAAAGACUUCCUCGACAUUUGGAAAGAAGCAGAAGUCCCCCCCCCCCCACACUUUUCCCCAACACUUCUUCUUUUGAGCUGUCACGUUAGUUUUUGUCGCCCUCUCUUGCGAGGACCCGGCACGGACAUGGGAACGGGCCCGGACUAACUCCGUCGAUGUUUUAAAUGCAUUUGCUGUUGUUCGGAUGCAGCGACUUUUGAAGCCCUUCUCCGCUGUUGGCAUCCUGCGGAGGCUGACUAAUCUUCGACCGUCGCGCUGCUCCUGAAAGUUGUUUGCCAGCCACAUUUGGAGGGGGACUCUGUAUAAAACAUGUGGCUUUUGUACAUCCAACGGAACCUCAAACGUUUUAUCUCGUGUGCAAGAUCGAGGAGAACGAUGUAUUGUCUUUAAAAGUUCCUCCAAGAACGACAAAAAACCAAACGAACAUCGGGCUAGCGAGCUAGCGAGCUGUCGCUGGCGGCUAACGCUAGCUCGCCACUCAGUUUGCCUCCCUCUUUUUUAUUCCCUUGAAAACAAGAUACGAGGGGACUUCAUUCCGCGUUAAAAAUGUCUUCCGGGGAAAGUAUGGAGGCUCGGUUUGGAAAAAUCGACGCUAUGUUGAAGGACCCCAAGUCGGAGAUCAACACGGAUUGUCUUCUGGACGGCCUAGAUGCGCUGGUGUACGACCUGGACUUUCCUGCCCUAAGGAAAAACAAGAGCAUUGACAACUUCUUGAAUAGAUAUAAGGAUACCAUUAGUAAAAUCCGUGACCUACGGAUGAAAGCGGAAGACUAUGAGGUGGUCAAAGUCAUUGGGAGAGGUGCAUUUGGGGAGGUGCAGCUGGUGAGGCACAAAGCCACAUGCAAAGUGUAUGCCAUGAAGUUGCUGAGCAAGUUUGAGAUGAUCAAAAGGUCAGACUCUGCUUUCUUUUGGGAGGAGAGGGACAUCAUGGCUUUUGCCAACAGCUCCUGGGUCGUGCAGCUUUUCUUCGCGUUCCAAGAUGACCGCUACCUCUACAUGGUGAUGGAAUACAUGCCCGGUGGGGACUUGGUCAACCUCAUGAGCAAUUACGACGUCCCGGAGAAGUGGGCUCGCUUUUAUACAGCCGAGGUGGUGCUGGCGCUGGAUGGUAUCCAUGCCAUGGGCUUCAUUCAUAGGGAUGUGAAGCCUGACAAUAUGUUGUUGGACAAAGCGGGCCACUUAAAACUGGCAGAUUUUGGCACCUGCAUGAAAAUGAACAAGGAUGGUAUGGUACGAUGCGACACGGCGGUAGGAACACCGGACUACAUUUCACCUGAGGUACUGAAAUCCCAAGGAGGAGAUGGCUACUAUGGCAGGGAGUGCGACUGGUGGUCGGUGGGAGUGUUCCUGUAUGAAAUGCUAGUUGGCGACACGCCGUUUUACGCAGACUCUCUGGUCGGCACCUACAGCAAAAUAAUGAACCACAAAAACGCGCUGACCUUCCCCGAUGACAGCGACAUCUCCAAUGAUGCCAAGAACCUCAUCUGUGCCUUCCUGACGGACAGGGAGGUCCGCCUAGGCCGGAACGGUGUGGAUGAGAUCAAGAGGCACCCUUUCUUCAAGAAUGAUCAGUGGACGUGGGAGAACAUCAGAGACACGGCUGCCCCAGUGGUGCCCGAGCUGAGCAGUGAUGUUGACACCAGUAACUUUGAUGACAUAGAAGAGGACCGUGGCGAAGAAGAGACUUUUCCAAUACCAAAGGCCUUUGUGGGCAACCAGCUGCCCUUUGUGGGCUUCACUUACUACAGCAAUCAGCAUCCUCUGCGCAGCUCCACUUCUGCCUCAAAGGCAAGUGACAAACGUAGCAGCUCCACAAAGGAGGACAAAAGUCAUUUGGAGAACCUGCAGAAAAGAGUCUACCAGCUGGAAGAGCAGCUCCACAGUGAGAUGCAGCUGAAGGAUGAGUUGGAGCAAAAAUGCAGGACCACAAACACCAAGAUUGAAAAGAUCAUGAAAGAACUGGAUGAGGAGGCCAACUUGAGGAAGAGUGUGGAGGCGAGUAUGUCCCUGCUUGAGAAGGAUAAGAUUAUGCUGCAGCAUAGAUUUACAGAGUCGCAAAGGAAAGCCGACCAGGAGGCAGAGAAGAGACGCAAUUUGGAGAACGAGGUGUCGACUCUGAAGGAGCAACUUGAAGACAUGAGGAAGAUUAGCCAGAACUCGCAGGCCUCAAACGACAAGAUUGCCCAGCUUCAGAGUCAGCUGGAGGAGGCUAAUGACCUCCUGCGCGCCGAGUCGGACACGGCGGCGAGGCUGCGGAAGAAUCACACAGAGGUGGCCAAGUCCAUGAGCCAGCUGGAAAGCUUGAACCGUGAGCUGCAGGAGAGGAGCCGCGCCGCCGACGGCGAGAAGGCCCAGUUGGAGAAGGAACUCCUGCUCCUCCAGAGCACCUUGGACUCGGAGAGGAGGAACUACAGCCAAGACUCGGAGGAGAUUCGUGAGCUGCAGGCGAGGAUGAUGGGGUUGCAGGAGGACAACAAAAACUUGAAGCUCACUGUCUCCAAAGUGGAGACGGAGCGCAAACAGGCCCAGGAGAGAAGCAAUAACUUGGAGAAGGAUAAGAACAACCUAGAGAUAGACCUGAACUACAAACUGAAGACCCUGCAACAGCGACUGGAGCAGGAGCAGACUGAACACCGGGUGACACGUGCACAACUGACUGACAAAUAUGAGUCCAUUGAGGAGGCCAAAUCGGCCGCUAUGAACGCUGUUCAGGUGAAGAUGUCGGAGGAGAACGGGGCGAGGAUGCGAGCAGAGAGCCGGGUGGUGGAGGUGGAGAAGCAGUGCUCCAUGCUGGAGUUUGACCUCAAACAGUCGGUGCAGAAAAUGGAGCAGCUGAUGAAGCAGAAGGAAAGGCUAGAGGAUGAUGUGAAGAAUCUACGGAUACAGGCGGAACAGGAGUCGAGCAAGCGCGUGCUGGCGCAGAAUGAGCUGAAGAGCCGGCUACAGGAGGUAGAUCGGCUGCGCUGUUCUGAGAAGCAGCUCAAGCAGGAGAUCAACACGGCGCUGGAGAGUAAACGCUCUUUGGAGUUUCAACUUGCGCAGCUGACAAAGCAAUACAGAGGCAACGAAGGACAGAUGAGGGAACUUCAGGACCAGCUCGAGGCCGAACAGUAUUUUUCUACACUUUACAAAACUCAGGUCAAAGAGCUCAAGGAGGAAAUAGAAGAAAGGAACCGGCAGGUCCAAGAAGCUCAUAAAAAGGUGCAGGAGCUGUGCAGUGAAAGGGAGUCCCUGUCUGCCCAGUUGGAUCUGACAGUGACAAAGGCGGAGUCGGAGCAGCUGGCGCGAGCGCUGCAGGAGGAGCAGUACUUUGAGCUCAGCCAAGAAAGCAAAAAGACCGUCACGAGACACAAGCAGGAACUCGUCGAUAAGGAGGCCACGAUUGCACGACUUGAGGAGUCCUGUAAAACUCUGACCAAAGAUGUGGAGGGUCUCGCCAAAGAGAAGGCAGAGUUGAGCGAGAAGCUCAGCACUCAGGAGGAAGAGUAUGCCACUCAGAAGGAGGAGAUUACAAAUGCAAUCAAGGCCAACUAUGAGAAGGUCCUCCACACAGAGCGUACGCUGAAGACGCAGGCGGUGAACAAGCUGGCAGAGAUCAUGAACCGCAAGGACAUGAAGCUAGACCAGAAAAAGAAGGGCAGCACUGCCGACCUGCGUAAGAAGGAGAAGGAGAACCGCAAGCUGCAGCUGGAGCUCAACCAGGAGAAGGAGAAAUUCAACCACAUGGCCAUCAAGUAUCAGAAGGAGCUGAGUGAGAUGCAGGCACAACUGGCCGAGGAGUGCACGUACCGCAACGAGCUCCAGAUGCAGCUGGACAGCAAGGAGAGCGACAUCGAGCAGCUGCGCGAGAAGCUGAACGACCUGCAGCAGCGCAUGGACAACUCCAGCAUCACAAGCUUGCUGACGGACGAUACGGACAGCAACAUUGUGGAAUCCAGACUGGAAGGAUGGCUGUCUAUUCCUAACCGCACAAAUAUCAAGCGAUACGGAUGGAAGAAGCAGUAUGUUGUGGUGAGCAGCAAGAAGAUUUUAUUUUACAAUGAUGAGCAAGAUAAGGAGCAGUCCAACCCUUCCAUGGUACUAGAUAUCGACAAACUUUUUCACGUGAGACCAGUGACACAAGGAGACGUGUACCGGGCCGAGACUGAAGAGAUUCCAAGAAUAUUCCAAAUUCUGUACGCCAACGAGGGCGAGUGCCGGAAAGAGGCCGACAUGGAGACGGUCCCUCAGGGUGACAGGAACUGCCUGCCACACAAGGGCCAUGAGUUCAUCCCCACCCUGUACCACUUCCCCUCUAACUGCGAGGCGUGUUCCAAGCCGCUGUGGCACGUCUUCAAGCCGCCGCCGGCGCUCGAGUGCCGUCGAUGCCACGUCAAGUGCCACAAGGACCACCUGGACAAGAAGGAGGAUGUCAUCGCCCCUUGCAAAGUAAACUACGACGUGACCUCAGCCCGGGACAUGCUCUUGUUGGCGCUGACCCAAGAUGAGCAGAAGAAGUGGAUCGGCCAUCUUGUGAAGAAAAUCCCUAAAACCCCACCGACCACGUUUUCCAGAGCUUCGCCUCGCUCCAUGUCCACUCGGCCUGGACCCAACCAGUCCUUCCGCAAAAACCCUAAAAGCAGUUCGACAAAACUGAGCCGAGCGCAGUCCAACCUCCAUGCGGCAGACGCAACAUCCAGCACUUGUUGACAGGAGAUGCUUCGCGAAAGUGCGGAUGUGUGUGUGUGAUUUUUUUAGUCUAUUUAUUAUUAUUAUUACGAGACAUUUGGUGCUCGCUUUGUUGGUCGGUUGGUUGCCGCCUUGGGCUCACAACUGGGAUUCUUCUGCUCUUGACACCAAGGCUGAAUUUACACUGGAGGUCCAAGUGUCCGAUCCUGAUUUAAUGCCUGUAACAUUUUUUUUUUUUUUUCUUUCGGGGGUCAGCUGGAAUUUAUCCCGACUUCACCCGGAACUGUCCGCCAGCCAAUCAAACGGCGCAUAACAACAAUAAAUCACAAUGAUAACUAUGGACAGUUAAGAGUCGCUGCUUCAAUUUGCGCUGACUUUUAUAUUUGCAUUGUUGAAAUAAGGCAUGCAAGCUCACAGGAAACGGACUUAGAGGGACUUUAUGUUGCGACAUCACACAAAUGCGACAUUAAUACCAGUUCAUUGAUUUUAGAGGAAACGAAGCGGCGCGACUGAAUGUUGCUGACGUAUGUCAACAAACUUGCAUGUAAAUGACGAUUUAGCAAGUGCGGAAAAACUAUCACGUCCGUUUUAUUUGUGGAACAAGAAAUUCAUCUUGUAAAGGCCUAUUUAUAUUCACAUUUGGAAGAGGCCAACCUGGCAAUAUCAGAUUCCACGUGUCAUCUCUUUACAUUGCCGUGGCAAAGAUCUGAGUUGUGCCACUUGAGAGCAAAAAAUCAGGGAUUGGGUCACUUGGUAAUUUGGUGUAAAAUCAACUGCGUGUUAAGUGAGACUAACUGGUGCACAUAAAAUGUUUUUUUUUGUUUGUUUGUUUUUUGUUUUUUAAAUUCGCCUUUUACAGUGAGACAGAAAAGCUGAUGAAGGGUGUUGCUCUUGUAUGGGCUACUAACCACGUUCAAGGGUUGUUUUUUUUUUUUGUUUCCUUUACUGGACACCUGUCUCUGCUCUUUCUUUGCAGCUAACCGUCUCAACCGUCGGACUUGUUUUUCCCUGGACUAUUCUGUACUUUCCCCUCCUUGUUCAUCUUCAAACAUGGACAAAAUGUUGAUGGUGAUAUUAUUAAACAAGACGUUAUGGACCCGCCGCCCUAUCUACUCUGCAGCUCGUCAUCACCACGUUGCUACAAGACAAAGGCGUCCUCGGCCCAAAAGCGGAGGUGACACAUGGAGAUUUCUUUUUAGGGGGUUUUGCCGGGGCAGUGUUGAGUUUUCAGGUACUGUCAUCCAGGUGUUCCAGACGUGCCAUGAGGGCUUGUAUCUUCAGGGCUGGAAAAAUAGAAGGAAAAAAAAUUGCCUGACAACAUCCUUAAAUGCAAGCAGACUUCUGUUUCCGUUGGAUAAAUAUGACUGAUGCCUUCAUCUAAUCCUAUCUGGCCUUUUUUUUUCCCUUUUUUAAUUCUUAUCACUCUCCAAGUCAGUUUAUCAGGUUUGGAAAUGAGUAUUGGGACACGAGUAUUAGAUGUAUUAAGAUCAUUUUAAAUCUAUGCAUUAUUUUAUUAUUAUUCUAAUUAUUUUUAUUGCUCCAAGCCAUGAGGAAACUUCCAUUGUAAUGGCGUAUAGGAGUCCCUCAAACUUCCAUCAUUUUUGUUUUUUUGGUUUUUCUGUUUAUUUGGUACAAUGUCUCGUGAUAUAUAUAUAUUUUUCUUGCUUGUAUUUUUUUUUAUAAUGUAUUGCCUUACAUUGAUUCCUAGAUAAAUGGUUCAAAAAGGAAAAACAUUAAGUUAACAAAUGUAAAACUGCACUGUUUGAAUUGUACAUUAUUUAAAGAAGACUAAACAGGUGUAGCAUUUGGCCCACCUAGUGCCUUAAUAACCGUUGAAUAUUGAUUUUACUGCCAUAUCUUUUUUGUUUCUUCCUCCUCCUUCCAAAACCAGACAAAUGCUUCCAUCUUUCAAUUUUUUUUUUUUUUUUUACUAAUUUAAAUUGCCAUAUGUGGUUUUAUUGCCACUUUUUUUGGUUUGAGUAUGUAGAGCAGGAGUGGGGAACACACAUUUGAUCCGGCCACAAAACAUUUUAACAAACAAAUGCUUGUAAUAUAUAAUACUAAUAAACAUUUGUUUGAAUGUCAUAAAUUUAUUGAAAGGGUUCCCCGCCGCUGAUAUAAAGUGUAUAUAUUACAUCACCUGUUUUUGAAUGUGUUGCAAUGAAGUUGGCAUGUAAAAAAAAAAAGAAUUAAAAAAAAGCGCCCCAUAAUCAACUCAUUUGACAAAUUUCGGGAUCAUGUACUUAAACAAAUGUUCGUCAAAAGCAAAGUAUUCCAGAUCCUGUUAAUCCACCCCCAUCUGCAAUGUAAAUAAUGAGAGACAUAUGCAUUAUGGAAUUACCUCUGCAAUCUUUUUUUCUAUAUUUUUAAAUCAUUUUUUCCCCCCCAUUCAGUUGAAAGAGGAAAAAAAGCACUGGAACUCUGAUAAACUCUGGUCUUGGAUAAUAAGUUGCAUGGUUUAUUUGCAUUGGAGUCCGCACUGAUGGAUAUGUCAAUAAACAUAUCUUUAUCAUUCA